GAGAGGCCAAUGCAAUUGUUACUAUCAACUGUCCUUCAGUCCAGAUCAACCUCUGAGAAUCAUGUUCCAUCUUUUCUUCUGGGACUCCAGUUACUUAUAUUCAGUCUUCUUUGGCUUUUAUAUUCAUGACUUUGAAAUUAACUACUGCAUCCUUUGCUAAGUUCCUUUCCAUCUGAUACACUUUGUUUUGCUUUAGGUGGGUUGAUUACUUAACAGUGUGACAACUGCCUUCAUUUUGUUUUGUUUUUCCUUCAUUUCCCCCUCCUGACUAUUGUCAACAGCCACUUCAUAUCUUCAUUGUCCAGUUAUGAACUUGAGCUACUUUUCAUAUCCAGUUCAUUAAAUUCAUAUUAGUAUUGUUAUGCUAGCAUUAAGAUACAGGUCCUUGCAUUUCUUAAGUAAGGAUUUACCAGAUGAAUAUGCCAGUUGCUCCUGUGGAUCUAUUUGUUAGAAUGCCUUUUCUAGUACAAUUUUUUUUUACUAGCACAAAGUUCUGGAAUUACUUAGCACUCACAAAAAAGUUAUUUCUCUGAAGUUAUUUUUGUGAAAUGAGGUAUUUUUCCAGUAAUAUAGACUUUUAUGGAUGGGAAUCUAUCUUUUGAUUCUUUAUAGAACUUUAUUUUAAAAAAAUUAAGACACAAUAAAUUAGAUAAUGUAGUACAAGUGGGUUCUAAAUAACCAUCUUUCUCUUUGCCCUUGGGUGCAUGAAACUAAGGUAUAGUACCGAAUUAAGUAACACACUGGUACGAUCUAUAGACUUUUAGAUGUCCUCACUUCAUAUCUAGCUCUUAAUAGCAUUAUUUUAUAGAUUUUUAUAACUACCACCACAGGCAAGAUAGGAAUUUGUUUCGUUUCAGAGACCUAGUGCUCUUUAUAGUCAUAUCUAGCCACCUUCAGUUCUCUCAAAUUCCAGACACACGCUACAACUAAUCUAGUAUAUAUUUGCCAUUUUAAGCCUUUUAGGCAAAUGUAAUCUUAUAGAAUAUGAUCUUUUGAGAUUGUGCCUUUUCACUUAGCCAGACCUCUAAUAACUAAGUUCAAGCAAUAGUUUUUUCCUUUUAGUGUUAAUAUUUUAUUACAUGAAUAUACCACUUUAUCCAUCUGUUGAAGGUAUUUAAUAUUUUUAAAUUUGUGGCUAUUAAAAAUAAAGGCAUUUACAUUG
rnacentral:lncRNA from 1 species